rnacentral:rRNA from 1 species
GGCGGACGGGUGAGUAACACAUGGCUGACCUGCCCCUCAGAGGGGGACAACUGCUGGAAACGGCAGCUAAGACCCCAUACGCUGGUGGAGGUUAGAGGCUCCACCAGGAAAGUCGGAAGAUGCUGAGGGAGGGGGCGGUGGCCCAUCAGCUGGUUGGUAGGGUAACGGCCUACCAAGGCGAGGACGGGUAGGGGACCUGAGAGGGUGAUCCCCCACACGGGCACUGAGACACGGGCCCGACUCCUACGGGAGGCAGCAGUAAGGGAUAUUGCUCAAUGGGCGCAAGCCUGAUGCAGCAACGCCGCGUGCGGGAUGACGGCCUUCGGGUCGUAAACCGCUUUUCGGGGGGAAGAGGAAGGACGGUACCCCCGGAAGAAGUCUCGGCUAACUACGUGCCAGCAGCCGCGGUAAAACGUAGGAGGCGAGCGUUAUCCGGAUUUACUGGGUGUAAAGCGCGUGCAGGCGGGUCGGUAAGUUGUGCGUGAAAGCGCCCAGGCUCAACCGGGCGAGGACGUGCAAGACUGCCGGGCUGGAGGCAGGUAGAGGCGUACGGAAUUCC